UUAAUUUGAACAGGUCUUUGCUUUCAUGCUCGUUUACAACUGUCAUGUGGCCUCGAGUUCUCUCUUUUUUGUUAAAAAUAAAUUUGUCCUGGUAUAGCAUGUGUUUGAGCCGAUGUCUCUAAAAAGAACUGCACAGAAUACUACCAGAAAUACAGUCAUGGCAAAAACAAAGUACUGUUACUGUAGGAUCUGGGGCAGGCCGGGACUUCUUCCUCUAUUUUCUUCCUUUUUUGCUCUCUGUCUCUGCCUUUCUCUCUUUUUCUGUUUUCUCUUUGGUUGAGAGGUGGGCGGAUUAUCUGUGCGUCUGCCCAUAGGCGGUUGCCUUUUCCCGGGAUUGCUCUCACACACCUGCAACCCAUCAGUGCUGUGUAUUUAGGACUGGCUGUGGCAAUGAUUCCCAGCUAGAUCGUUGUCUUUAUUAUGAUGGUAAAUUGGUCAACUCAUUGGUCAACUUGUAAGACUCUGAUUUUUUGCAACUUCUGAUCAGCAACCUUUCGGUCUCGCCUGCUUUCUCGUUAUCUUCCUGGAGUUCCCUCCUCGCUGUCUGAGAAACUUUCCUAUCUGGAGUCCCUUCUGGAGUCUUAGGCCCACAGCAAUACUCGUACAGCAACAUCACUCGGGUUUUUGAAUCUCUUCGGAAACAAGGACUUACCUCACUUGCCUGCCCACCCUCUACUGACUUCCUCCCUUCAUCUCCAAGCCUCAGCCUGCCCACCAGGUACCCCUCUCCUAGCUCAGCAUUCAUCUUUGACAGACCCUGCCUGAACACCACUAUCAGCCAUCGCCUGAUUAACCACCGGUCCUUCUUUCACCCUGAAAAACCUUUUAAACUGUACGUCGGUUGUCUGAGUCUGCUCAUAGGGUCCAUUCUUUGUAAAAUUAGAUGAACAACAACAUAAGACAUACAUACAUAAUAUCAUUUUUUAUUUACCAAAAAAUAAAAUGCAGAAGCAGUGUGUGACAAACUAAACACUAAGGACCUUUACUGCUUCCAUAGGAAUGGAGAGAGAACGUAGCAGCCAGGUACUGAUAAUCCAGUUGAUUAAUUAACUCUCAUCCUCCCAAAAUAUUUGACAUUCAUAAACUAAGAUUGGGUGCCUGGGAACCCCAAGAAUAAUUUACUUAUAAUAAUAAUAAUAAUAAUAAUAAUAACAAUAAUAAAAGCAAAACAUAUUUUAAUUAAUGCCAGUAAAGAAAAAACAAUACAGUUUUUUAAAUUAUCAUUUUUGCAAUGGUACAAUUAAUUUGAAUAUUAUAUUAAAAAAAAUCUAUCCUUUUCUUUAAUAAAACAUUCAGCUUUAUCUCAAGUACAUUAUGCAUUAUUACUGAAAAGCUUUUUUUUUUUUUUUAAAUAUCCUUUCAGUCUGGUAUCACUUAUAGUUUUCAUCAGUUUCAAGUAAACAUUAUUCGUGUUGUGUUUUUAUGCUGAAUUCAGUCAUGGUCAUUUAGGUCUAAUAUCUUGGAUCUACUCUGGAGUCUCCUCCUGGAACAUUCCCAGAACCCCUCACUUCACCCCCAUCUCCAACUGUUUGUUGCUUAAAUUUGAGACCCAUGGGAAACAUGAAGUGAACAAAUAGUUGAGUUUAUUCAAUUAUAGGAGAAAUCGAGUGCUUUUGACAGGGGUCCCCAUGGACCACAAAACAGUAUUUUUUGAAAGCACUAAUAGCACUCAUAAAACAAUUGGAAUGAAUGAAUAUGACAAAAAAUAUACCUCUGGCGUCAGCAUGGGCUCAAGUCAUGUCAGAAAAUGUGGUCACCUCUAAAAAAAGUUUUGACAGUCUGCUAAUUUGGAGCAUUUAGGUGUGAGUUAACACCAACGAGAAAAGGAGCUGUCAUCACAAUUGUUGUUGCCCAUUGGUCUGUGAAGGAUUGUCAAACCAUUUCCAAACAAGUUGAAGUCCAUCAUUCUACACCGAGAAAUACUGCUGACGAGUGUAAAACAUUCAAGACAGCUGCCACUCUUCCUAGGAGUAGACGUCUCAGAUCAAUGCUCAUAGUAACUGUAAAAAAACCUCCAGAUGUACAUCUCAGACAGAAAUGGAUGCUAAAUAUUAAAGUUCAUUAUAGUACAAUGAGAUGAAGACUGAAUAAGUAUAUCUUAUUUGAAAGAGCUGUCAGGAGAAAGCCUCUUCUCUCUAAAAAGAACAUGGCAGCACAGCUUAGGCUUGCAAACUUGAACAAACCACAAGGUUUCUGGAACAAUGUUCUUUUGACAGAUGAGACCAAAGUAUGUUAUGUUUGGCAAAGUGCACAGAAAAUGAACACCAAACAUAGCAAGUCAACACAAACACCUCAUAUUAAGACCUGUUAAGGACUCGGUUUUUACCCUGAUAUGCAAAACCUUAGAGCCUGCAGAGGUUGCACUUUCCUAUUACCAUGACAGUAUAAAGCAAUAGUCACAAACUGCGGUUUUGGCCUAAAUAAGCUGUUAAUGUCUUCACAUGAUGUAAAGUUGGACUUAAGCUUUACAGAUAUUUUUAUUUGUAGUAUUUUAUUUGAUUCUUCUGCUUUUUGCUUAAUUCAGUUACUGCCCAUUGUCUGUUUGCACAUUCAUGUUUUACUGUAUGUGAAAAGUUCAGUUUUAGCUUAAUUUUGAUUGGUUAAAUUAUUAUUAUUACUGGUCAUGAAUUACAUGAAUUACAGUUCCAUUGGAUAGUCUUUUGUGUCCUACGUAAUAUUUACCUAAGGUAUUCCACUUACGGUAAGUAAUUAAAAUGGAGCCUAGUAUGAAAACGAUAGUAACAUUUCCUCUCCCUGGUGUAGUUUUCUGUCAUCUUAAUUCAGACAAGUUCAGUGGUUAAGUUUGAUUAAUUUAAAGGAGGGAUUCACAUCCUUUGAGCUACUGUGAUCCCUUAAUACUGUAAAAACAAGUGUCUACAAUUAAGAGAAGUUCAUCUCAGAAGAAAUUUGCCCUCACUGACUGUUUUCGCCCUCAGUAGUUGCUGGAAACCUGGUGAGGUAAACAGGA
ensembl:lncRNA